UUCAGAUUCUGUCUCCCUCUCUCUCUGCUCCUCCCCCACUCACACUCUGUCUCUUUCUCAAACAUAAAUAAACAUUAAAAAAAAAAUCCCUCUCCCGUAAACAGCAUUAUGCCAUAUAUUCUUUGAUGUUGGUAUUCCAACCAAGUGUGACAGCUGACUUUAAUGGAGCUGAUAUACACACACAUACACACGAGGCACAAAAAUACUCCACGAAUAUAAACCAGCAUCUGGGAGUGACUUCUUGUUAUCUUAAUUUCCACUUAAGGGUACUCUCUGUUUUAGCAGGAACCAAACAAAUUUCAGCAAUCAUGUAAGGCAUCUUGUGUAACUGGUGCUAAAUAUUCAGUUUAAGGGCAGUGACCGCUGGCCCCCAUAGCACCCACCACCUCCUCCAGCCCACAGAUUCCUUUUCUGCCUUCUCCACUAGAGAUGUGCUCCUUCAGGAUCGGGGCCUUCUGUCAUCCGCCACCGUGACUCCUCACCACCAAGUGAACCGUCCUGGAGGGAGGGGACCACGGUGUCACCUGGCUGUCUCUGGUACCAGCACAGUGUUCAAUACAUCAUAGGAACUAGUAAACAGUGUUGCACUCGGGAGACGUCCAGGUGCCAGCUUUAGAGAGCCAUGCCCCUGCAAGUGCACUGCCGAAAUGAAUUUCAGAUCCCUUCAGUCCCUACACGCGGACUUCACACAGGACACGGAGUGGAUGACACCGGCGACGAGCUCCUGGACCCUCUGCCCGAGGCUUCUGCUCCUCGCUUUCUCCUGCCACAAAGUCACUCCUCCUUGCAAACGCAGAUGAAGGUUCUCCCAAACCACUCUGGAAAGACAUCUCUGAGCUCCACCACCCGUCUGUCCUAACCUGACAACUGGGUGGUGCCUUAAUGUCCCCGUAACAUCUUUUGUAAAAUUUUUUUAAAAGUUUACUUAUGGGGGGGGGGGGGGCUGAGUGGAGGAGGGGCAAAGAGAGAGGGAGAGAGAGAAUCCCAAGCAGGCUCCCCUGCUGUCAGUGUGAGGCCCAACACAGGGCUCAAUCCCAGGACCCUAGGAUCAUGAUCUGAGUCAAAAUCAAAAGUCAAAUGCUCAGCCUACUGAGCCACCCAGGCGCCCCUGUCCCGGUAACAUCUUGGGCAAAUCCUCACUUUAGCACUACCUCCCUAUCUGCAUCUAUACGUUCGGUUGAUUACAUGUGUCUUUCCUCGCCUGUGACCUUCUAGAGAGCAGGAAACACUUCUUGCUAUUGCUGUCUCUUCCGGACCUAAAAUAACACACCGCUCAUAGUACAUGUUCAGUAAAAUGUCCAUUGAAAAAACGAACUGGAUGGAUGAGUGAACAUAUGGACAGACGAAGACACGGACGGAUCCAAUUGGGGAAAUAAGCCUUGGAUAAAAAUCACUCAAGACUCUAAGGAGCAUCAUAAGGCAGCUUUUUAAAGUGUCACAGACGUUCUAAAGGGUCAGAGACAAUCAAGGUGGACACAAGUAAAGACGAAAAGUUACAUAAAAAACAGGCCAUUCAGUAUGAGGGGUAAAAGCAAUGUUAUUUCAUAUCCUGUGAAGCUUCAAGUCACAAAACAGAAGAACAGAACAGAAAUAACCUGGAUUUUUAGACUGACAGUGAAGAAUCUUAAUGACCCCUUUGGUUGUUUGCAUUUACACACCAACAAAUAAAAGGUUCUGACUUUAUUCUGGUUAGAGUAAAAGAACAAUAGUGAUGGAUAAAUGUUAAAAUGGAGUUUAAAACACUGGUUUUUAUUGAGAUACGACUCUGAUGCGCAUCGGAAAUAUUUUGAGCCAACAGACUUAUAACCAAAGGCCAGACAUAAGUUCCCAGAAGUCAAAGACCUAUCCUUCUGAUGUGUACAUUUUCAGAGUAGUUUUGCAACAGGAAACCUUUGAAUUAAAACUAUUCUUCAAAGCCACCUAUCUAACUGUCUUCUCAGAGCAAGAUUUUUCUCUUCAUUAAGUACAGACAUGUCCAAGGCUUGACUUUGUCAGUUUCACAAGACAGUCUCUUCUGUAUUUUGACAAUUCUUAUCCUUUGAAAAUCAAUGUUUAUAAUAAUUCCAAACCUGCCUCCUUAAUACGUCUACCCAAUGUUCUAUCUAAGACAAAGCAAAAUAAAAGUUCAACAUUUGAGAACA